CGCUGCUGAGGGCAAGUGAGAGGAAAGUUCGCUGCAGUGAUGGCUGGAGUGUAAGGAGAGGAUUUGGAGAGGAAGCUAAUUUGUUUUGUUCUUCUCUCCCAGAGUGAGUGGACAACCUUUGCAGACACUGGCAGUGGGGACACAGAAGAUGAUAUGUGGUGACAACAAAAGGAAUUGUGAUUCUCCGUCUUCCCGUCGUGGCAUUGACGUUGCCAAGCUCAACAACAACACUGGAUUAGAAAAGUAUUGAAGACGCCUCUAAUCGAAUGCCUGAUAUUUUUGGACACUUGACGGAAGAACGCAAAGGAAAACUUGAUGACGACAAAGUACACAUGAUUGAGCACCGUAACAAAAUUAUGAUUGGUUAACUAAUACAACUUGAAUUAGCAUGUUGUUGCUCCCUUAACUGAUUUGAUCCUCUUAUUAAGUGAAUUUGACCUGGAUAAUGUAGCAGUAAAAAAAAAAAAAAAAAGUUCUUAAAACAGGAUGAAACCAUUAUUACAUUUGUGCUUUACUGGCAUUUGGAUCACAUUAGUAUUAGACAAACACUAAUGAACUAAUAUAUGUGGCCUCCUUGUCAAACCCUGCAUUGAAAUAUACCACAAACUCAUAUAUUUUACAGUAUGAGACCUUUACCCUCUCUCCUUACUACUACUGGUUCUCCUAAGUAUGUUGCUAUUCUCGUCUGGUCCAGGUUGU